AGGGCGCACGGUGGAUGCCUUGGCACUAGAAGCCGAUGAAGGACGUUACUAACGACGAUAUGCUUUGGGGAGCUGUAAGUAAGCUUUGAUCCAGAGAUUUCCGAAUGGGGAAACCCAGCAUGAGUUAUGUCAUGUUAUCGAUAUGUGAAUACAUAGCAUAUCAGAAGGCACACCCGGAGAACUGAAACAUCUUAGUACCCGGAGGAAGAGAAAGAAAAUUCGAUUCCCUUAGUAGCGGCGAGCGAAACGGGAAGAGCCCAAACCAACAAGCUUGCUUGUUGGGGUUGUAGGACACUCUAUACGGAGUUACAAAGGACGACAUUAGACGAAUCAUCUGGAAAGAUGAAUCAAAGAAGGUAAUAAUCCUGUAGUCGAAAAUGUUGUCUCUCUUGAGUGGAUCCUGAGUACGACGGAGCACGUGAAAUUCCGUCGGAAUCUGGGAGGACCAUCUCCUAAGGCUAAAUACUCUCUAGUGACCGAUAGUGAACCAGUACCGUGAGGGAAAGGUGAAAAGCACCCCGGAAGGGGAGUGAAAUAGAACCUGAAACCGUGUGCUUACAAGUAGUCAGAGCCCGUUAAUGGGUGAUGGCGUGCCUUUUGUAGAAUGAACCGGCGAGUUACGAUUUGAUGCAAGGUUAAGCAGUAAAUGUGGAGCCGUAGCGAAAGCGAGUCUGAAUAGGGCGUUUAGUAUUUGGUCGUAGACCCGAAACCAGGUGAUCUACCCUUGGUCAGGUUGAAGUUCAGGUAACACUGAAUGGAGGACCGAACCGACUUACGUUGAAAAGUGAGCGGAUGAACUGAGGGUAGCGGAGAAAUUCCAAUCGAACCUGGAGAUAGCUGGUUCUCUCCGAAAUAGCUUUAGGGCUAGCCUCAAGUGAUGAUUAUUGGAGGUAGAGCACUGUUUGGACGAGGGGCCCCUCUCGGGUUACCGAAUUCAGACAAACUCCGAAUGCCAAUUAAUUUAACUUGGGAGUCAGAACAUGGGUGAUAAGGUCCGUGUUCGAAAGGGAAACAGCCCAGACCACCAGCUAAGGUCCCAAAAUAUAUGUUAAGUGGAAAAGGAUGUGGCGUUGCCCAGACAACUAGGAUGUUGGCUUAGAAGCAGCCAUCAUUUAAAGAGUGCGUAAUAGCUCACUAGUCGAGUGACACUGCGCCGAAAAUGUACCGGGGCUAAACAUAUUACCGAAGCUGUGGAUUGUCCUUUGGACAAUGGUAGGAGAGCGUUCUAAGGGCGUUGAAGCAUGAUCGUAAGGACAUGUGGAGCGCUUAGAAGUGAGAAUGCCGGUGUGAGUAGCGAAAGACGGGUGAGAAUCCCGUCCACCGAUUGACUAAGGUUUCCAGAGGAAGGCUCGUCCGCUCUGGGUUAGUCGGGUCCUAAGCUGAGGCCGACAGGCGUAGGCGAUGGAUAACAGGUUGAUAUUCCUGUACCACCUAUAAUCGUUUUAAUCGAUGGGGGGACGCAGUAGGAUAGGCGAAGCGUGCGAUUGGAUUGCACGUCUAAGCAGUAAGGCUGAGUAUUAGGCAAAUCCGGUACUCGUUAAGGCUGAGCUGUGAUGGGGAGAAGACAUUGUGUCUUCGAGUCGUUGAUUUCACACUGCCGAGAAAAGCCUCUAGAUAGAAAAUAGGUGCCCGUACCGCAAACCGACACAGGUAGUCAAGAUGAGAAUUCUAAGGUGAGCGAGCGAACUCUCGUUAAGGAACUCGGCAAAAUGACCCCGUAACUUCGGGAGAAGGGGUGCUCUUUAGGGUUAACGCCCAGAAGAGCCGCAGUGAAUAGGCCCAAGCGACUGUUUAUCAAAAACACAGGUCUCUGCUAAACCGUAAGGUGAUGUAUAGGGGCUGACGCCUGCCCGGUGCUGGAAGGUUAAGAGGAGUGGUUAGCUUCUGCGAAGCUACGAAUCGAAGCCCCAGUAAACGGCGGCCGUAACUAUAACGGUCCUAAGGUAGCGAAAUUCCUUGUCGGGUAAGUUCCGACCCGCACGAAAGGCGUAACGAUUUGGGCACUGUCUCAACGAGAGACUCGGUGAAAUCAUAGUACCUGUGAAGAUGCAGGUUACCCGCGACAGGACGGAAAGACCCCGUGGAGCUUUACUGUAGCCUGAUAUUGAAAUUCGGCACAGCUUGUACAGGAUAGGUAGGAGCCUUUGAAACGUGAGCGCUAGCUUACGUGGAGGCGCUGGUGGGAUACUACCCUAGCUGUGUUGGCUUUCUAACCCGCACCACUUAUCGUGGUGGGAGACAGUGUCAGGCGGGCAGUUUGACUGGGGCGGUCGCCUCCUAAAAGGGAACGGAGGCGCUCA
rnacentral:rRNA from 1 species